CUGAGCACUUAAAUGAGAGCUGCUGUUAGCAGAGGUUGCCAGUGGUGAAGUCUUUCAAAUGUAGUACGCAGACUUAAACUAGCUUCUAGAAUGAGCAGACAGAAAAGCAGUGAAAAGGUGAAAUGGGUGGCUUCUGCUUAAAGGCYGGAGGAGUGAAGGGAUGUCACUGUCAGAAUGAACUUUUAACCCAGGUGCCCCUGACUUCUAAAGCGAUAGGUUGCAGAUUGGGAGAAAGGAGUCAUUCUUGCACUGACAGACUUUCUCACAAAGUUCCAGAGUGAAAAUGGGCCACGGUGGGGGAACGGUUGGAGCCCGUCAGUCGAGCGAUUCCUGCGUUCUCAAGAGGGAUAUCGGAUAACAUGGUUGCUCUCUCAAGUAACUGACUUGCCAUGUUUGUUUAAUAUAUCUUCUUAUUUUGGAGGAGGAAGGGGCAUUUUACAGCUACAAUGUAAUCUGUAUAUACCAGCAGGCUGUUUUUUCCUUAGGAAUGUAUUGUUCUCCUAUAUAGUGCUUCACGUAUUACUUCACAGACAAUAGUGGGUAUUCAUCGGUUUGUUCAUGCCCGGGCUUACUGACAUCUUUUUACUGUACUGGGUUAUCUCUCUGGUGCCUUCAGCUACCUCCUCCUAGCAGAUACAUACCUUAAUUGGACUGAUUCUGUUCUGUCUGUAUAUUUGCAUGAGCAACUUUUCCUUCUGGGGAAUUGUAUAAAUACUAGAAGCUGUCUGUUACCAUCUGAAGACGUGACUGAUGAGUUUAAAAUAAAUACGUCCAAGCUGAACCCUUUCUCCGAGAAGAAAGGCAGCCUUUUUGCGCAUCAGCUAGACUACUACGACUGUUUCCAAAAGGCAUGUUUUCUCAACUCUGUAAUAUUUUCUCAUUCUGUUUUUUCAGUUUACACAGCAGAACUACAUCACUUUCAUAUUAAAACAGUAUUCUGAAGAAGUGUUUUCUUUAUAUUUUGUAUUUAUGUAGAUAUACAAACUGUAUUCACAUCAGAUAUGUAGCUUGUAACAGAGCUUGUGAAUGUCAUUGGGGGUAAGAUCUGAGGUGCGACACUGCGCCGUGAUCGGUGUUUUAAUUUCAAGACUGAUGUUACCCCACUAAAAAUUCCAAAGGCAAGCAA
rnacentral:lncRNA from 1 species